GCGGGGAGAUAGUGUUGCCAUGCUGGUGAGCGCAGAUCUGCAGUAUUGUGAGAGGCUGCGGCGGCGCUCGUAUAACUAUGUGCAGCCUGGACCCUAGAAUCAUAAUCCUUUGGGAGUUGCAGCUGUUGUUUCUUUGUGUUUCAGGACAAUAAAUCCCAUCUGUCAAGAGUAUGGAAGGUCAUUCCCUGACCCAGAAGUGACUGAAGCUGCAGGAUGAGCAGAUCAACAUUAUCCACUUGUCGCCAAAAGACCUGUGAUUGCAGUAGAUCAGUAAAGAAUUGACAGAUUUCAAGCUGGAGGCCCUGGUUUCCCUGCAUUGCCCUGAGCACCCUCAUCCCGAGACCCCAUAAAACAUGAUGUGUUCUGUGACAGCUGCUGCUUGCUGCCUGCCUCACUCCACGCUCAAGAUGGUCGGUGCACUAGGGAUCUUUCCAAGGAACUUUAAGCAAACCAGAUGUUUGGGAGAUUCAUAUUUCUCCUCUAGAGCCAACAUGGCCUUUCCGCCAGGGUUUUAUCGUUCCCAUUUUAUGAGCUUGUUUCAUAUUUCAUGGUUCAUGUAAGGGACAUGUCCUGCAUAAUUCAUAGCAGCAAUAAAAAUGUUGCCUAUAUUCUA